CCUACGGGUGGCAGCAGUGGGGAAUAUUGGACAAUGGGCGAAAGCCUGAUCCAGCCAUGCCGCGUGUGUGAAGAAGGCCUUCGGGUUGUAAAGCACUUUCAGUGGGGAAGAAAGCCUUGGGGCUAAUACCCUCGAGGAAGGACAUCACCCACAGAAGAAGCACCGGCUAACUCCGUGCCAGCAGCCGCGGUAAUACGGAGGGUGCGAGCGUUAAUCGGAAUUACUGGGCGUAAAGCGCGCGUAGGCGGUCUGAUAAGCCGGUUGUGAAAGCCCCGGGCUCAACCUGGGAACGGCAUCCGGAACUGUCAGGCUAGAGUGCAGGAGAGGAAGGUAGAAUUCCCGGUGUAGCGGUGAAAUGCGUAGAGAUCGGGAGGAAUACCAGUGGCGAAGGCGGCCUUCUGGACUGACACUGACGCUGAGGUGCGAAAGCGUGGGUAGCAAACAGGAUUAGAUACCCCGGUCGUC
rnacentral:rRNA from 1 species